rnacentral:lncRNA from 1 species
GAAAAUGGAUGGGUUCCCAACUUUGGUGUUGCAGUUCACUUUCUAUGAUUGCUGCCUAUAGGUUAUAUGGUACAUGGAGAUAAUGAACAAUUACGAGCGCAGAUAAUGAACAAUUACGAGCGCUGCCUCGGAUUAUUGUGGGAGUCUACUCCUUUGGUUACCAGACUUAUAUGGGAGGACUUUUUCGAUCUGAAAUAUUGGGAACCACUUAAGAAUUAUAAGGUGACUAUUUUCAAAAGAAAAAAAAAUUCGGUUUCGAGUCCAGUAACACUCCGGUUUCACCCAAAAAAAAAAAAAA